GGAUUAGAUACCCUGGUAGUCCACGCCGUAAACGAUGUCUAUUAGCCGUUGGGCCUGUUAUGGGCUUGGUGGCGAAGCUAACGCGAUAAAUAGACCGCCUGGGGAGUACGGCCGCAAGGUUAAAACUCAAAUGAAUUGACGGGGGCCCGCACAAGCGGUGGAGCAUGUGGUUUAAUUCGAAGCAACGCGAAGAACCUUACCUGGCCUUGACAUCCUGCGAACUUUCUAGAGAUAGAUUGGUGCCUUCGGGAACGCAGAGACAGGUGCUGCAUGGCUGUCGUCAGCUCGUGCUG
rnacentral:rRNA from 1 species